rnacentral:rRNA from 1 species
GCGAAAUUCCUUGUCAGGUAAGUUCUGACCCGCACGAAUGGCGUAACGACUUGGGCACUGUCUCAACAGCCCACCCGGCGAAAUUGUUGUACUGGUGAAGAAGCCAGUUACCCGCAACUAGACGGAAAGACCCCAUGGAGCUUUACUGUAGCUUAAUACUGGAAAUCGGUAAAUCAUGUACAGGAUAGGUGGGAGGCAUGGAAGCCUGGGCGUCAGCUCAGGUGGAGCCACCCUUGGGAUACCACCCUUGAUUUGCUGGUUUUCUAACC